GGUUGUGGCUCAGCGGUAGAGCACUCGCCUAGAGCGUGCGAGGCGCUGGGUUUGAUCCUCAGCAUCA
rnacentral:tRNA from 1 species